GGGGCCGCAGGAGGGGCGGGGCGGACACGGGCCGCGCGCUUCCUUUGUGCGUCGAGCCCCGCCUCGCGCCCUCCGGAAGGCGGGUUAGGGACGCCCGGGGCUCAGCUUAGGGAGGCGGGCGCCACGCCACGAGGAGGCUGCCCUGAUACCCGGUGCAAGUGCUCCUUGGCGGGGCGGCCCGCGACUCCCGCCUUGGACCGUUCACUCCCUGAGGGGCCUGGGGGGCAGUCAGAAGACUAACGACCACCAGUCACCGAGAGCUCAGUUCGUGCCAAACCCUGCUCGCGCUGUCCCCCACUUAAAUUGUUCACAACGACCCUACAAGUCAUUCUCCUUCCCACUGGGAACUGAAGAUCAGAGGGAAGUCAUUGCCCGAGUGCCCCGGUCACACCUUCGUGAGCGGCCUCGGGCUCGCGGUUGAGGCUGAUUGAGGAAGUGGGUUCAGGCGGCCCGCCGUGCCUGGCACACGGUCAGAGUCCCCUGACAGGACUUUCCCCUUUCUCUGAGAUGACAUUCAGGCCGCUUUGCUUCGCACUGCCCUCAGAGAAGCAGUGUGCCCAGAAGUCAAGUAUGAGCUCUUGAGUCAAAAUGCUUGGAUUUGAAUUCCAACUCUGCUGCUUACCAGCUGUGUGACAUGGGAUCCUAAAGAAGCCGGUUGCCAAGGUGACAGGAGCAGGAACAGCAGGGAGCUUGCCAUGGGGGAGGGGCUUUGCCCCCAAACAGCUGUCAGUGGGAGCAGUCCCAGCUGGGACUGGAGGGUCUGCCUGCUCUGGGAGGAAACAGCCCCCAGGAGAACACAUUCCUCUCUGCCAUACCCCCUCCUACUGCCCCACUGCAAGUCUCCACUGGUUACUUUCCCUGGGGGCAGCCAGCCAGCCAGCUCAAAAAAUGCUCCAAUAACAAACAAAAAAUGUG